CACGGGGGGAGCAAGCGUUGUUCGGAAUCACUGGGCGUAAAGGGCGCGUAGGUGGCGGCCCAAGUCCAUGGUGAAAGCUCGCCGCUUAACGGCGAGUCGGCCACGGAUACUGGGUUGCUCGAGCACUGUAGGGGCAGAUGGAAUUCCGGGUGUAGCGGUGGAAUGCGUAGAGAUCCGGAAGAACACCAGUGGCGAAGGCGGUCUGCUGGGCAGUAGCUGACACUGAUGCGCGACAGCGUGGGGAGUAAACGGG
rnacentral:rRNA from 1 species